rnacentral:rRNA from 1 species
CCUGGCGACGGUUGUCCAGGUUCAAGUACGUAGGCGGAAAGUUUAGGUAAAUCCGGACUUUCUUAACGCUGAGAUACGAUGUCGAGCUACUACGGUAGUGAAGUCAUUGAUGCCAUGCUUCCAGGAAAAGCCUCUAAGCUUCAGAUUGUAAGGAAUCGUACCCCAAACCGACACAGGUGGUCGGGUAGAGAAUACCAAGGCGCUUGAGAGAACUCGGGUGAAGGAACUAGGCAAAAUGGUACCGUAACUUCGGGAGAAGGUACGCUCUUAUCAGUGAAGUCCCUUGCGGAUGGAGCAGACGAGAGUCGCAGAUACCAGGUGGCUGCAACUGUUUAUUAAAAACACAGCACUGUGCAAAAUCGUAAGAUGACGUAUACGGUGUGACGCCUGCCCGGUGCCGGAAGGUUAAUUGAUGGGGUUAGACUUCGGUCGAAGCUCUUGAUCGAAGCCCCGGUAAACGGCGGCCGUAACUAUAACGGUCCUAAGGUAGCGAAAUUCCUUGUCGGGUAAGUUCCGACCUGCACGAAUGGCGUAAUGAUGGCCACGCUGUCUCCACCCGAGACUCAGUGAAAUUGAAAUCGCUGUGAAGAUGCAGUGUACCCGCGGCUAGACGGAAAGACCCCGUGAACCUUUACUACAGCUUGGCACUGAACAUUGAACCUACAUGUGUAGGAUAGGUGGGAGACUUUGAAACCGCGUCGCUAGAUGUGGUGGAGUCGUCCUUGAAAUACCACCCUUGUAGUUUUGAUGUUCUAACGUUGGUCCCUGAAUCGGGAUUACGGACAGUGCCUGGUGGGUAGUUUGACUGGGGCGGUCUCCUCCCAAAGAGUAACGGAGGAGCACGAAGGUGGGCUAAACACGGUUGGACAUCGUGUGGUUAGUGCAAUGGCAUAAGCCCGCUUGACUGCGAGAAUGACAAUUCGAGCAGGUGCGAAAGCAGGUCAUAGUGAUCCGGUGGUUCUGAAUGGAAGGGCCAUCGCUCAACGGAUAAAAGGUACUCCGGGGAUAACAGGCUGAUACCGCCCAAGAGUUCAUAUCGACGGCGGUGUUUGGCACCUCGAUGUCGGCUCAUCACAUCCUGGGGCUGAAGUCGGUCCCAAGGGUAUGGCUGUUCGCCAUUUAAAGUGGUACGCGAGCUGGGUUUAGAACGUCGUGAGACAGUUCGGUCCCUAUCUGCCGUGGGCGUUGGAAAAUUGAAAGGGGCUGCUCCUAGUACGAGAGGACCGGAGUGGACGAACCUCUGGUGUUCGGGUUGUCAUGCCAAUGGCAUUGCCCGGUAGCUAAGUUCGGAAUCGAUAACCGCUGAAAGCAUCUAAGCGGGAAGCGAGCCUUGAGAUGAGUUUUCCCUGGCGCUAUAAG